rnacentral:lncRNA from 1 species
ACCGGUUGCGAACCCACAGCGCCGCGGAGGGAACGCCUGCGCCUCGGCCGGACACUAAGAGUUAAGAUGUGGCGGAGGGGGUGGCGGGGGAGGGGCGGAGAGGAGAAAGUGGCGAGGGGGAGGGAGGCGGGGGGGGGGGGGGGGGGGGGGCGACAGAUUUCCAGCUUCUACGACGCUCUGCCUAAAUUAAAAAGCAACCAAUCGGAACGGCCGGAAGGGGGGCCGCGCGUCCUGAGCCAGUCAUUCCGGGCCUGCCAAUCACCCAGCGGGUAGCCAAUCAGCGGGGGCCCUGGUGCUCGACUUCCUUGUAUUUGGGAAAGUGUGGUGGUGGGUGCGCGCUCGCGGCGGAGGGUAAACAUUCGACAGUCCCUGCUCUGAGAGGGAGGGACAGAGAGCGAACUGUCAGAUCCCUGCGAGAGCGGGCGGGCGAGCGAGGGAGAGGGAGUGAGAGAGAGAGAGAGAGAGAGGGAGGGAGAGGGAAAGUGAGAGAGGGAGAGAGCGCGAACGAGGGCGCAGAGCGAGCUCCCGCUGCAACUCCGCUCCGGCUCGGCCAGCGCCAGCGCCGUCGGUGCACUCUACGAGCCGUGCAACGUGCCCACUGGAGUUGGUUGUGUAUCAAGGAUCCCCUAUAUGCACACACACACCUCCACCUCCACCAAUGCACUCUUCUUCCUCCUCCUCCUCCAGACAACUGCUGGGAAAAAAAUAAAACACCAACCCCAACCGUCAGCAACAAGGAAAUACCCAGGCCUUGGGAGCCCUGGGGACUAACGGGCAGUUGGUAGAGCGAUCGACAAGGCCGGUGGCUGGAGAAAACCUAAGAAAUUGCGGAGAGAGAGAGAAAUGAAAACUUGCGAAAGUUUCCUUGGAAGGUGGGUCGGCUGGAGGUCGUAGAGGUACUGACGAACACUUUUUGGAACGCCUGGGAGAAUUAAAGGUAGAAAUGCCUGUCGACCUCUGUUCCACGUUUGCGGAUUUUCCGUGCUGGGGUCCAGCCUCCUCUCCCCGCGAUUCGGUUGCAGCCUCCCCCUCCGCGGACCGCAGAGUUCAGAGGGCCUGAGUUCAGGGCCUGCUGACCCCGGCUCUCUCCGAGAUCCACCUCCCCGCUGCCCCCAAGCCCUGGAGCCCUGGAGGAAAAGCAACCACGGAGUUGGACCCCCUGGGUCUUCAAAGACUCUGGCCCAGCCCAGGGCCCAGAGCCUGGGAUUUACAGAAGGGGGGCACUCCGAGUCCAUUCCCGAACGGUGCUGUGCCUGGAAGGGGGCGCGCUGGCUCAGAAUAAGGGUCUAACGCUUGGCUACAGUUCGAAUGUGGGGGGAGUAGGGGUCACAGAGGACUGGCCUCGCAGGCGGGUAGGUCGCAUUGUUUGGGAACGCGCCUGGAUCUAGGAAGCCGAGGCUGGGGAGGCGGGGGGGGGGGGGGGGGGGGGGGGGGCAGGGCUGGAGGAGGCUGGUGGCUUUGUGAAGUUUCG